GUAAUAAUCACCGAUCUACUAGAUCCAUUUACUUCACUCAUUUUGAUGAAGCUUCAAGACAUUGUAGUUAAAUAAAACGACUCAGUUGAUGCUUAACUGAAAACUUAUGACACAAACAGUAGAGAUAGAAAAAGACAAAUAUUACUAAUUAAUUUGAUCAAAAGUGACAUGCAACUUCAUUGCUUUCUUGUUUCAAUCACGUUCCAACUGUCCUUACAAGAAAAUUUCAAAUUGGAAAAAAUUCAACCAGAAGGUA